AAGUCGUAACAAGGUUUCCGUAGGUGAACCUGCGGAAGGAUCAUUACUGAACUGUCGACACGAGUUGUUGCUGGCCCUCAAAAGGGGCACGUGCACGCUCUGUUUACACAUCCACUCACACCUGUGCACCCUCUGUAGCUCUAUGGCCUUGGGGACUCUGUCCCCUUGCCGUGGUCCUACGUCUUUACACACACACCGUAAUGAAGUCUCAUGGAAUGUAUGUCGCGUCUAACGCAAUACAAUACAACUUUCAGCAACGGAUCUCUUGGCUCUCGCAUCGAUGAAGAACGCAGCGAAAUGCGAUAAGUAAUGUGAAUUGCAGAAUUCAGUGAAUCAUCGAAUCUUUGAACGCACCUUGCGCCCUUUGGCUAUUCUGAAGGGCAUGCCUGUUUGAGUAUCAUGAACACCUCAACUCUCAUGGUCUGCCAUGACGAGCUUGGACUUUGGGGGUCUUGCCGGCCUAGUGUCGGCUCCUCUCAAAAGGAUCAGCUUGCCAGUGUUUGGUGGCAUCACGGGUGUGAUAACUAUCUACGCUUGUGGUUUUCCACCAUGUAACCUUCAGCGAUGGAGGUUCGCUGGAGCUCACAGAUGUCUCUCCUUGCGAGGACAGCU
rnacentral:rRNA from 1 species